rnacentral:rRNA from 1 species
CCCUUAGAUGUUCUGGGCCGCACGCGCGCUACACUGAUGAAUUCAACGAGCUCCUAACCUAGGCCGAAGGGUCCGGGUAAUCUUUGAAAUUUCAUCGUGAUGGGGAUAGAUUAUUGCAAUUAUUAAUCUUCAACGAGGAAUUCCUAGUAAGCGCGAGUCAUCAGCUCGCGUUGAUUACGUCCCCGCCCUUUGUACACACCGCCCGUCGCUCCUACCGAUUGAAUGGUCCGGUGAAAUGUUCGGACCGCGACAAGGCGGACGGUUCGCUGUCAGCUUUGCUGCGGGAAGUUCAUUAAACCUUAUCAUUUAGAGGAAGGAGAAGUCGUAACA